rnacentral:lncRNA from 1 species
AUGCAAACUUGGAUCUGCAGCCCCAGCUGUAAAAAUCUUACAGCUCUGAAAGUCUCUCCAGAGGUCUGAAGUAAAGGUGAAAUUACCUUUAAAUUGCUCCAUCUUGGACCUUUUGGCAUUUUCCUUUCAGAAGCACAGGCAGCUUCAUCCUGCCUCCCCCAACAGACUGCAACCUCUACAGCAGGGAGAGAAAUUCCAAAUCACAAAAGAUGGCAUGGAGCACCAAAGAGAUCCAAAUCAGUUAUACAGCAGCCAGUGCAGAUGCCCAUACCAAAGCAAUUACUGCAUGGGAGAUGCCGACUGGCUGGAAGAACCUGUUCAUUCUGGGCCUGGAAUGGAGUCUGUGAGGAGCUCAGCUUCCUGGGGUGGAAGGAGGAGAACUUCCUUGUCAGCAACUGAGAAGAUCCUGAAGAGUUCCAAGUUGAGGAGGUGCCCUGCAGGAGUGAUGCAGAGACACAGAAAAGAUUUCUCACCACUUGAUCUCAGCAUGUGGCUCUCAUCUGGUGCUGUGCUCUCUCUGCUCCUUUGCCUGGGACAGUGUCAGAGCAAGUGGGGGUUUCAAAAUUCAUCUGUAGCGGGGAGAGCAGGAGGAAUCCUGUUUUCCUCACUGCCCAGACUAAAGAAAUUGCUCCAACCACACCUUUCCUUCUGGAUCUUCCUUCCAAGGAGAGCUUCUUCACAAGCAAGAGAAGCAGAGGCUUGCACAGCUCUUCCACAGUCAUGCCCUGCUCUUUCACUGCCCAUCAACUGCACGGUGUUGUCUCCUCCCACGUUGCAGGCUUGUUUUACACCUGGAAGAGUCAUCCCAAAUGCAGGCUCAGUAGUCAGGUGCAGCCCUGAAAUGAGAGAGGGGAACAGCAAAGAGAUAAGAGAGGCAGAAGAAGGCACCAGCCACCAGCCCAGGAUGUCCCAGGGGUUCCACAAGCAGGGAUUUCUGGACUGACAGAUGAGAUCUCGCUGGUGCUGAGUUCAGUGGACACCACGGAAAAGGGCAGAGACACUUCUGUAGAAAAUUAAUUGCAGGAUUGGGGGUAAGAGCAAAUGCAUUUGCCAUGAAGCACGAUUAAUGCAUUUCCUAAAGUUUGCCAGUAUGUGUUGAUCCUUCUCCCACUGAAGCUGAUGGCAAAACUCCCAUGGAAUUCAGCAAAGUGGGGUGGAAUCUAUACAGAAAUUAUUUUUUCCCAGAACAGCGCAGCUUUGCAAUAACCAGUGGAUUUGCAAACUCCUCACUCUGACACAUUGAAAUAAUUUGGGACUUUCAUUCCAUUUUGCUUUAAUUGGACUUACCCUG